GUGAAAGAAUGUUCUAAACCUACAGAAAAAGCAACAAAGAAGCUGAAAGUGAAGAAGGAAAGGAAAACCAGUAAGCCCAGGAAUAACACCAGGCGGCGAGCCCAGAACAUUUUGGACAUUUGUAAAAUAUGUUAGAAACCUCUGAAGGGACAUGGAUGAAUCUGGAGAACAUCAUUCUCAGCAAACUGACACAAGAAGAGAAAAUGAAAUACCACAUAUUCUCACUCAUAGGAAUUGGUUUUCACCUUUUGCCAGGAUUCUGAGGCCUCCCCAGCCAUGUGGAACUGCAAAUCCAAUGAAACCUCUUUUUUUUCCCAGUUUCAGAUUGUUCCUGAAUUACGGUUCCAUGGUCAUGCUGUAUUGCUCACUGGAAGUUUCUAUACCAGAGUUCCUGUGGUCUAGAAAUGUUUCCGUCUAUUACAGAGGUGGAGUUACUGUUCUUGCUGACUUUCCAGAUGUAGCUUCCAUGAACACUCCUGAUUACCAUGGUGCUGGCAGCAUGAAAGUGUGAGCCUAGAGAUCACUGCAAAAUCAAUGUGCCCGGAGCUUCAGGCAACACAAAGCCGUGUGGAGUGAAGGAGACACGAUGUUCAAAACUUACAAAGCCAGGAACUGGUCUUUGAAAAUUCUUCCAAAUCUUAGAGUUCACAGAUGAAAGACAUUUGAUAGCGUUAUUUCCCAAGUUUCAUCAUAGUCCUAAGAAUGUCUAUGAAAUCACGAAUAACAAAUUGAGAAACUUGAUGCAACUUUUCUAAACUAUCAGUAACAAAAUGACAGAUUAUAAUCCAUCAUACUAGAGAAAAGACUGCAUUAUCUUGUUAUUCUCAACACAGAAAACGUAACAGAACAUGUCAAAUGAGGAGGCAAUCAGAGAAUUAACAGCAGUUUAUAUAGAGCCAUAACUAUAGAGCCAAAAAAAUCACAGAAAUGCAUCAAGCAAUUUUCUAAAUAUUAAUUUUAUGUUUUGUUAUCCUUGCAGAAUUUGUCAGAAUUAUGAAUUUUAUAAUCUGUUGUGAUUUAUUUUUAUGUUCUAAAUAAAUAUUCAAUCACUACAUUCA
rnacentral:lncRNA from 13 species